rnacentral:lncRNA from 1 species
AGAACUUCUGAGCAACGUGGCAGCUGCCGGGACCGGGCCUCUGAGUGCAGAGAGCAGGCGUUGCCAGGAGCGGACUCAGACAGUGGAGGCCCCUCGCUGACCCUCUCCGGGGCCACUGCAAAGGAAGAAGAAAAGCACAGGCAUCAGCUUCAACAAUGCAAAACAAAGUAAGCUUGAAUUCAGAUGAGGGGCAGUUAAAAUCGCAGCCUAGAAGUCCAAGUGUGGUUUGUAACACUCCAAACCCCAUGUCAGCCUUCAGUGAUUGUUCUGCUGACCAUGUUGCUACAGAGCGGCUUGGGUUUUUCCUUGUGGCAACUCCCCAGGGUGACAGAUUAUUCGGCAAUGUCACCAUUUUGUAGAUGUAUUCGGGAUUUCCAGCCAUAAGCCAUGGAUGAUAUUGGGGAUCCUUUAUUCCUGGUGGGUGCCCAUAAGAGUUUGCAAACUAUACCCAAAAGGGCACGGGAACCCCUAAACUUUCCAGGCUGUCUUGGCACACGGCUCACUAGAACUGUUAACGCCGUCAAAGUAUCUCUGACACGUCCUUAGCCUGUGUUUGAAAACCUGCAGAGAUGGGAUACGCCCCUUUACCAGAGACAGUGCAUUCCGUCCACUGGGAGUGACACACGGCCAAGCCAGGCUUCAAAGAGAGAGGUUCACCGUAUUCCAGUAGUGACUACUGGGAUUUAGGGUUGGAUCACCUUACCAGAGCUUGGAAGCUGCUAGAAGUUAACAUUAAUUUUAUUGUUCUUUAAAAUGAAAGUCCAGCAGGAGGGCCAGGAUUUGGGCAUCUCGGUCCUUCACGAAAAGAAAGGGUGAUGUUGAUUAGCCAUGUUCCACAUCCCCCGAGUUAAAUAUAGGAAUAGUUCUGACAUCUGACUCAAGAAUGUGUUUUCUUGCAUGAUAUUAAGGCAGAUGCACAGAUCCACGUAGAUUAAUCCCCUUCACUAGUAGCAGGGGCCCGAUGAGGUAGCUGAUGAGGAAGAGCCCCCGAGACCAGGCCCAGCGUGGGGCCACGGCCUUGGGAUCUGGACGACACCCCAGCGGUUCUGUGCCGCCAGCAGGCCCUGCCGCAUCUCUGGGCUGGAGCCCUGACUGUCAGCAGAUGAGGCCAUGGGUUGGGGUGUCUCUCCCACCAGAACGGCUUCGUGGGGUGCUCACUAUCCCCUGGUCAUGCUUCGGCACAGCUGGCACCGGCUCCCUGAGGGCCCACUGAUUGGUUUUACACAAGUCUGUGAAGCUUCCCACAAUGCACGAUGUCCUUAGCAAAUACAACACAGCCCGCUGGUAUCGCCUCUUCCUUCACUACCUCCACAACCACUUGUGGCAGAGGAGGAGCCUCCAGUUGCACUUGGCCAAGGCGGCUUUUGUAAGAACUUGACGGGACCAAGCCACCCCCACGGCAUCAUUUCCACGGGAGAACACAUCCCAGCGAAACUCCAAGGAAAGGGUAGUUUUGUGAAGAAAAUGCUUGUGUUCUAGGACACAGCCCAGCAAGUCCCUGACUUUAAAAAAUGUGUAAGAAACAGGAAUGUAACAUUGACGAAACAUGCCUGCCAAGAUGGACUUUCCUUGUGGCGAGACCCUUCCUUCUCCUCAAUGCCUGGGUGCUAGCAGGGUAGCAUCCCCAGCCUCAGAGCUCAAGCGUCAUGAUUGGGGAAAUGAGACUGGGCAGCCAUUCGGAAGGCCGGGCAAAGAAGAGUGUAAAGAGACAUUGGUCUCGUGCUGCAGAAUGAGUUACAAAUAGUGAAUCCUCAGCAAUACUGUCUCCCCGUGGACUGGAAUUUGGACCCGCUGCUGUGGCGGGCAGCUUUGACCCAAUGAGGACCACGCCUGGAAGGAUGUCAGAGCAGCAGGGACCUGGGUGGAGUGACCUGGUGGAACGGAGACGCCUGCCGGCUCAGCAGCCACAGCAGCAGCUGCCCGUCAUGGGACAGCAACGUGGCAAGAAUUCCCCACGGGUUCCGGGGGAGCCUGUGUUGCUGGACCCUUUGCCACACCACCGAACCUGGCCCAGAGGAGCAGGAAUUGGCCGAGUUCCAGGCCCUGCACCUGACGGGGGCUUCCUCAGCCUCUCAUGUGAUCCUCGCAGCAGGCUAACGUGCAGGCCCUUCUGUUUUCCAGAUUUGACAGUUGAGAGGGGAAAGCCAUGUUUUCAAAUGUUACAGUAGAAGAGGCAGGAUGCAAAUCCAGCCCUGGCUGGUGCUGAAGCUGGGGCAGGUGCAUCUGCAGGGUGCUGCCUUCAAGGCAGAGGGGUGACUGCUGUGUUUCAUGGCAGGGAAGCCCCCCUUGAUGCUCACACCACCCAGGUCGUACGGCUUUGAGGACAUCCCUUUCUUCAAACCCAGGUCAUCUGAACAGUGUGGCCUGAAUCCCAGGUUGGGAGUGAGUAAUUCAUCAUCCAAACUGAUUAGAGAAUCUGAGUGAGGGACCUUCAAGUCAGGGAUAGAGAACGGGCUUCGUCUUCUGGAGCUGCCAUAACAAAAUGCCGAAGACUGGGCGGCUUCAACCACACAAGGGCCUUUCGACACAGCCCUGGCAACUGGAAGCUGGGGGUCGAGGUGUGGGCAGGGCUGGUUCCUGGGGAAGGAUCUCCUCCCGGCUGCAGAUGGCCGCCCCUGGCUGCAUGCCCGCCUGGCUUUCCUCGGUGCUCACUCACCCCGGUGCCUCUUCUGCUUCUUAGAAGGAUCCCCAGCAGAUGAGGGCCCCAGCCUGGUGACCUCACUUACCCUCCAUCAUGUGCUGAAGGUCCUUCUCCAAAUGCAGUCAACGUGGGGAUUAGGGCUUCAACUUAGGGCCCGGGGCGGAUGCAAUUGAGUUCGUAGCAGACGUUAUCUUCGGGAUCCCCUGUCUUCCCCCUGACCCUGUGAGGCUCACUGUGAGGGGAAGGGAGUUCCAUUUCUGCUAAAGCCAUAAACUGGAGAUCCUAAGAACUUAUGGGACCACUCAGUGCUGACUUGCAUAAUCUCCUGGUGGCUUCCCUGUCUGCACCCCAUCUCUCUCGAAGCCUGGCCUCAGGCCCUCAGCCUGGCACCCUGUCUUCCAGCCUCCUCGGCUCCACUGCAGGGCUGCCUCAUCCUCAGCACAGCCCCUGUCAGCUCAGCCUCUGCACCCAUGCUUUGGCCACCUCCUCCUGUCCUCUCCACUCACCCUCUGGGAAAGGGGUUCAUACAAUCUGCUGGCCCUGCUGCCAGCUCUAACCCAUUGAUCCUAUCACUGUUUUGGGGUCAGUCUCCCAUCCUCCAGCUGUCCAAACUCUCCACCUUACAUAUUUGAAUUCCAUGACAAAUCAUUUUUAACACUGCCUUGCCUGCAAUCUCACCAUUUUUGGAUUUCUGUUUAUUGAACUUGCUUGGUUAAAUCUUAUUCUCUUCCAUCUCUGUGUGCAAUUACACAACUGGUCAUCACUGGUAAAAAUCUCAAAACCACCCACAGAGACAGUCCAGCAGGCCGCAUCAUGCCACCAGCCAGCCUCAUGCGCCUCCCUCAUGGUCUCCUACCCAUCUCCUGGCUGACACUGGUGCCUUCUCCCUCUCCUCAACCUGCACCAGCUCGGGCCUCACCCUCCCGCUGAGCACCAGCCUUGCUCUCUCCUGGUCCCUGGCAAGGUGGGGGUGAUCUGAAGGAAGUCUCGGUCUCCUCCCCCUGCCCUGUCCACGGGUGCCCCGGCCCCUGUAUCCAGGGCCCUGCCCUCCACACUGGGGACCACGAUGCACAUCCCCGCCCCGCAGAGCCAGUCCGUGGCCUGGCCUGCCCGCCCCGUGUGCAGCUUUCUGCCAGCACAGCUCUGCUCACCCUCAACUUCACUGUUUUUCUCCUGGAUUCUCCCCAUCAGCAAACACACAUGCUGUUAUUUGUCCCAUUUUAAAACACAAUCAAAACAAAACAGAGUACUUUGGACUGCACUUUCUGCCAGCCACCACCCUCGAGCUCCUGGCCUGUGCAGCUGACCCCACGGCCAGGUCCUCCUUCACGUUCUCGCCACCCCAAAUGCGGGCACCGCGGCGCCAAACCUGCUCUUCCCACUGUUGUCAAUAACCGCAGCCUGGCCGAAUCCAGUGAUUCAUUUCUGUCUUAAUCUCUCCUGGCCUUUCGGCAGCGUUUAACGUGUGCGACCCCUCCCUUCUCCUGUCUUCAGCCUUCCUCGGGAUCCGCGAGGCGCCCUCUCUCCCAUCUCCCUCUCAGGAGUGUGUCUCCAGCCCCGCACCUGCCCUCUCUAUUCUCAGUGCAUCCCCGCCGCAGGCAUCACCCUCUGACUUGUCAUGCCAUCCGCCCCCUCCCUCACUGUAUCUACGCUUUAUUACCUGCCUUGGCUCGUACAAUGUCAGCUUUGCAAGGGGUUCUUCCAAGGUCUUAUUUUCAAUUGAUCAAUGCCGAGGAUGGGGAGCAAUGCGUGUACCAGAGGGGGCUGGGCACACGCAGGCUUGUUGUUGGAUGGAGGAGAGGCAGCAUCCCCUGCAUGCCUGGGUGGUCCCCAUCUCCAGGCCUGCGACAAGCACUUCUCAUCUUCCCAUCCUCUGACGGAGCCAGUCCCACCCACCACGUGGACGUGGGUGUUGUCUGUGGACCAAGGUCAGUGUUUUGUUGGUUUUUCUUAUUGUUUGGCACCAGCAUUACAUAGACCAAUAGACCUUGUUGUUCUCCGCCCGGAGGGGCUGGUGCUGUGGCUGGGGCACCGCCCUGGGUAGGCCCCGCCCCAGGCCAUGCAGUUCCCAGGCUCCUUUCUGGGAGGGGUUGGUUCUCACAAAGGGGGAAAAUCAUGAAAUGGCAAACCUGAGUCACGGCAGCACAGAGGACAGCCCCUGAAGGCAUAAGCAGGAAGGGCAUAAUGCUUUCCAAAAGAGAAAACUACAUGGACUUUACUGACUCAUCACUGAGUUCUGAGAUCACUGACACUUACACAUGUGUCCACGCUGUUGUGAGUCAUGGGGAAAAAUGGAGGAGCAAAAUGACCAAGUGGCAGGGUCUGUAAGAGUCUCUCACUGUAGGGAUGGGCUGCCCUGAGGAGACACUGCCCAGGCCUGGGUGCCCCGGGCCAAAGUCCUGACCCUUGCAGGGCUGUGUCCUGUGGAUGACAUGUGGCACUGGACUGCUCACUGACAGGUCUCACAUACAGGUCAUGCUGAUGCAAGAGGGAGGUUCCCAUGGUCUUGGGCAGCUCUGCCCCUGUGGCUUUGCAGGAUACAGCCUCCUUCCAGCUGCUUUCAUGGUCUGGCAUUGAGUGACUGUGGCUUUUCCAGGCUCACGGUGCAAGCUGCCAGUGGAUCUACCAUUCUGGGGUUGGAAGAUGGUGGCCCUCUUCUCACUGCUCCACCAGGAAGUGCCCCAGUGGGGACUCUAUGUGGGGGCUCUGACCCCACAUUUCCCUUCUGCACUGCCCUGGCAGAGGUUCUCCAUGAGGGCCCCGCCCCUACAGCAACGUUUUGCAUGGGCAUCCAGGCAUUUCCAUAUGUCUUCUGAAAUCCAGGUGGAGGUUCCCAAACCUCAGUUCUUGACUUCUGUGCACCUGCAGGCUCAACACCACGUGGAAGCUGCCAAGGCUUGGAGCUUCUAUCCUCUGAAGCCACAGCACGAGCUGUCCAUUGGCCCUUUCAGCCAUGGCUGGAGCGGCUGGGACACAGGGCAUCAAGUCCCUAGGCUGCACACAGCUCAGUGCCCACAAAACCAUUUUUUCCUCUUAGACCUCUGGGUCUGUGAUGGAAGUGGCUGCCGCAAAGGUCUCUGACAUGCCCUGGAGACGUUUUCCCUAUUGUCUUGGAGAUUAACAUUCGACUUCUGGUUAUUUAUACAAGUAUCACAGCUGGCUUGAAUUUCUCCUCAGAAAAUGGGAUUUUCUUUUCUAUCACAUUGUCAGGCUGCAAAUUUUCUGAACUUUUAUGCUCUGUUUCCCUUUUAAAACUGAAUGCAUUUACUACAGUAACCAAAACAGCAUGGUACUGGUACCAAAACAGAUAUAUAGACCAAUGGAGCAGAAUAGAGCCCUUGGAAAUAAUACCACACAUCUACAACCAUCUGAUCUUUGACAAACUUGACAAAAGCAAAAAGUGGGGAAAGGAUUCCCUAUUUAAUAAAUGGUGCUGGGAAAACUGGCUAGCCAUAUGUAGAAACCUGAAACUGGAUCCCUUCCUUACACCUUACACAAAAAUUAAUUCAAGAUGGAUUAAAGACUUACAUGUUAGACCUAAAACCAUAAAAACCCUAGAAGAAAACCUAGGCAAUACCAUUCAGGACACAGUCAUGGGCAAGGACUUCAUGACUAAAACACCAAAAGAAAUCACAACAAAAGCCAAAAUUGACAAAUGGGAUCUAAUUAAACUAAAGAGCUUCUGCACAGCAAAAGAAACUACUAUCAGAGUGAAUAGGCAACCUACAGAAUGGAAGAAAACUUUUGCAAUCUACCUAUCUCACAAAGGACUAAUGUCCAGAAUCUACAAAGAACUUAAACAAAUUUACAAGAAAAAAAUCAAACAACCCCAUCAAAAAGUGGGCAAAGGAUAUGAACAGACACUUCUCAAAAGAAGACAUUUAUGCAGCCAACAGACACAUGAAAAAAUGCUCACCAUCACUGGCCAUCAGAGAAAUGCAAAUCAAAACCACAGUGAGAUGCCAUCUCACAGCAGCUAGAAUGGCGAUCAUUAAAAAGUCAGGAAACAACAGGUGCUGGAGAGGAUGUGGAGAAAUAGGAACGCUUUUACACUGUUGGUGGGACUGUAAACUAGUUCAACCAUUGUGGAAGACAGUGUGGCAAUUGCUCAAGGAUCUAGAACUAGAAAUACCAUUUGACCCAGUCAUCCCAUUACUGGGUAUAUACCCAAAGGAUUAUAAAUCAUGCUGCUCUAAAGACACAUGCAUAUGUAUGUUUACUGCAGCACUAUUCACAACAGUAAAGACUUGGAACCAACCCAAAUGUCCAUCAGUGAUAGACUGGAUUAAGAAAAUGUGGCACAUAUACACCAUGGAAUACUAUGCAGCCAUAAAAAGGAUGAGUUCAUGUCCUUUGUAGGGACAUGGAUGAAGCUAGAAACCAUCAUUCUGAGCAAACUGUCACAAGGACAGAAAACCAAACACCACAUGUUCUCACUCAUAGGUGGGAAUUGAACAAUGAGAACACUUGGACACAGGGUGGGGAAUAUCACACACUGGGGCCUGUCGUGGAGUGGGGGGAGGGAGGAGGGAUAGCAUUAAGAGAAAUACCUAAUGUAAAUGACGAGUUAAUGGGUGCAGCACACCAACAUGGCACAUGUAUACAUAUGUAACAAACCUGCAUGUUGUGCACAUGUACCCUAGAACUUAAACUAUAAUAAAAAAAUUAAAAAUAAAAUAAAAUAAAAUGAUAGAUUAAAAAAAAACCUGAAUGCCUUUAAAAGCACCCAAGUCACCUCUUGAAUGCUUUGCUGCUUAGAAAUUUCUUCUCCUAGAUACCCUACAUCAGCUCUCUCAAGUUCAAAGUUCCAGAAAUCUCUCAGGCAGGAGCAAAAUGCCACCAGUCUCUUUGCUAAAACAUAACAAAGGUCACCUUUGCUCCAGUUCCCAACAAGUUCCUCAUCUCCAUCUGAGACCACCUCAGCCUGGAUUUCACUGUCCAUAUCAUUAUCAGUAUUUUUGUCAAAGCCAUUCAACAAGUCUCCAGGAAGUUCCAAAUUGUCCCGCAUUUUUCUGUCUUCGUCUGAGCCCUCCCAACUGUUCCAACUUCUGCCUGUUACCCAGUUCCAAAGUCACUUACACAUUUUCGAGUAUCUUUUCAGCAACGCCCCACUCUGCUGGUUCCAAUUUACUGUAUUAGUCUGUUUUCAUGUUGCUGAUAAAAAUAUACCCUAGACUGGGAAGAAAAAGAGGUUUAAUUGGACUUACAGUUCCACAUGGCUGGGGAGGCCACAGAAUCAUGAUGAGAGGUGAAAGGCACUUCUUAUGUGGCGGCGGCAAGAGAAAAUGAGGAAGAUGCAAAUGUAGAAACCCUUCAUAAAACCAUCAGCUCUUGUGAGACUUGUUCACUACCAGAAGAACGGUAUGGGGGAAACCACCCCCAUGAUGGAAUUAUCUCCCACUGGGUCCCUCCCACAACACUUGGGAAUUAUGGGAAUACAAUUUAAGAUGAGAUUUGGAUGGGGACACAGAGCCAAACCACAUCAGGGCCAAAACUAUUUUAAAAGCUAUUGUUUGUUGUCAGUCUUACAAAGUGGCUUUGUAAAGUCUAUGGAAACAGUGAAAAGGAAUUUUGAAUUUUAUUGAAAAAAGGUUGGUAGUGAUUUUUAACUUGUGCCUGCAAGAUGGAAAGCCCUUCCUUCAUAGCAGCAAAUCAGGGGAGAUAAAAGCAGCAUCGCUGCUCUCCCGAGUUCCCUCUGCCUACACCGAGGUUUAGGUCCCUCUCCCAGAUCUAAGGGCCUUGAUGCUAACAGACCUGUCAUCUAAAACAGGAAUGGGCUCUGCAGCGUUUAGACAAAUUCCAAAGAGCAACUCCUUGCAGAGGAUCUUUGAAUUCUGUCUCUAGUCAGUGGCCACAGAUGGUGUUUCUCACUAGAUUAACCUCCAGCUGACGAGUCCGUAGGUUGGUGUCUUGUGUUCCGUGGCUUCAGUGAGAUGUGGGGUGGAUCACGCUGAGGAAGAGCCCAGAUGUGAAGGCAGCCUGCCUGCCAUCCUGCACCGCCUCGCAAGUCCUGUGAGUCUGGGUGAAUGCUGAGCCUCACCGGGCAUCCCAGGUAGAUGGGUGCACCCUCUUUAAUCACCUACUGUAUUUGAUGAUAAUACCUGAUGAAGUUAACAGAAACUACUGAUGACAUAAAAUAAUAUGUGUGGAAGUGAUGAAAAUUAUUUCUAUGUGGCUAACAAAUAUUCCUGAUAUUGACGUUCCUGUCCGUGACACUCACCUAUAAGAACUUCCCCCUCCCAGCAACCCGAUCCAAACCACAGAGGGUAAAAACAUGCCAUUUGGGAAAUGAGUGUUUUAAGGCGAGCUUAUCUUUUCCACCUUUCCAGAGGAGAUGUGCCGAGAUGAUCACGCUAUUACAAUGGUGUAUGAUGAGAAACAAGAGAGCCCUUGUCCAAGGCUUCUAGUUAUGAGGACAUCUGAAAAGGCACUGUUUAUCUUAUCUGUUAUCCCAUCAAAAUAAAAUUAAUAAAGAAUGCGUAUAAUAUGGAUGAAUAAACAUUAACUUUCUACAAGAGAAUUUUACAUAAUUGGCUUGAAAGGCUCCAUCCUGGGACAUGCUAUUGAUGACAUUUUCUUUCAUCUAAACCCAGCUCUGAAUUUCUCCUGAUGGUACACUUUUUAUUUACUGCUACAAUGAGAAAAAGUUUUAUCGUGCUACAAUCAGCAAAAUUUGGCAUUCAUGAUCUUCUAUAUUGUCUUAUUAACUCUUCCUAUUAAUUAAUACCAGGCAAAUUUACGUUCUGGAAGAUCUUUCUUCAUCGAAGGCCAGUUGUUAAACGUGGAGGCGGCCUUUCAGACGGCAUUCUGUCUUUCUGUUUAGUCCACAUCACAUUUCUGGAGCACAUGCCUCAGGCAAUAAAGUUUUCUCUAUGCUUCAUAAAU